rnacentral:rRNA from 1 species
CACUAUCGUUAACUGAAUACAUAGGUUAACGAGGCGAACCGGGGGAACUGAAACAUCUAAGUACCCCGAGGAAAAGAAAUCAACCGAGAUUCCCCCAGUAGCGGCGAGCGAACGGGGAGCAGCCCAGAGUCUGAAUCAGCUUGUGUGUUAGUGGAACGGUCUGGAAAGUCCGACGGUACAGGGUGAUAGUCCCGUACACCAAAAUGCACAGGCUGUGAACUCGAAGAGUAGGGCGGGACACGUGGUAUCCUGUCUGAAUAUGGGGGGACCAUCCUCCAAGGCUAAAUACUCCUGACUGACCGAUAGUGAACCAGUACCGUGAGGGAAAGGCGAAAAGAACCCCGGCGAGGGGAGUGAAAAAGAACCUGAAACCGUGUACGUACAAGCAGUGGGAGCACCUUUAUGGUGUGACUGCGUACCUUUUGUAUAAUGGGUCAGCGACUUAUAUUCUGUAGCAAGGUUAACCGUAUAGGGGAGCCGCAGGGAAACCGAGUCUUAACUGGGCGUUAAGUUGCAGGGUAUAGACCCGAAACCCGGUGAUCUAGCCAUGGGCAGGUU